rnacentral:rRNA from 1 species
GUGGGGAAUAUUGGACAAUGGGCGGAAGCCUGAUCCAGCCAUGCCGCGUGUGUGAAGAAGGCCUUUUGGUUGUAAAGCACUUUAAGCGAGGAGGAGGCUACCGAGAUUAAUACUCUUGGAUAGUGGACGUUACUCGCAGAAUAAGCACCGGCUAACUCUGUGCCAGCAGCCGCGGUAAUACAGAGGGUGCGAGCGUUAAUCGGAUUUACUGGGCGUAAAGCGUGCGUAGGCGGCUUUUUAAGUCGGAUGUGAAAUCCCCGAGCUUAACUUGGGAAUUGCAUUCGAUACUGGGAAGCUAGAGUAUGGGAGAGGAUGGUAGAAUUCCAGGUGUAGCGGUGAAAUGCGUAGAGAUCUGGAGGAAUACCGAUGGCGAAGGCAGCCAUCUGGCCUAAUACUGACGCUGAGGUACGAAAGCAUGGGGAGCAAACAGGAUUAGAAACCGUGUAGUCC